GGUGGGGUGCAGGAGUGGCUUAUCUGCCAGGUCUCGAAAACCUUGGUCCCGCUUUGCGGGAACGCGAGUUCGAAUCUCGCCCCCACCGCCA
rnacentral:tRNA from 2 species